GAACGAACGCUGGCGGCGUGGAUAAGACAUGCAAGUCGAACGCUAAUUUCAGGGUGGCAAUAUUCUGAAGUUGGAGUGGCGCAAGGGUGAGUAACACGUAAGUAAUCUACCUUCGAGUGGGAAGUAACGUUCGGAACGAACGCUAAUACCGCAUAAUGCAGCGGCGACCUAAUGGUGACAGUUGUUAAAGGAGCAAUUCGCUUGAAGAGGAGCUUGUCGGC
rnacentral:rRNA from 1 species